UACAGAGGGUGCGAGCGUUAAUCGGAAUUACUGGGCGUAAAGCGCACGUAGGCGGCUUGGUAUGUCGGGUGUGAAAUCCCCCGGGCUCAACCCGGGAACUGCGUCCGAUACUGGAAGGCUAGAGUCCGGAAGAGGAGAGUGGAAUUCCUGGUGUAGCGGUGAAAUGCGCAGAUAUCAGGAAGAACACCCGUGGCGAAGGCGGCUCUCUGGGACGGUACUGACGCUGAGACGCGAAAGCGUGGGGAGCGAACAGG
rnacentral:rRNA from 1 species